rnacentral:rRNA from 1 species
AUUGAACGCUGGCGGAAUGCUUUACACAUGUAAGUCGAACGGUAGAGGGGGCAACCCCUCGAGAGUGGCGAACGGGUGAGUAAUAUAUCGGAACGUGCCCAGUCGUGGGGGAUAACGUAGCGAAAGUUACGCUAAUACCGCAUACGAUCUACGGAUGAAAGCGGGGGAUCGCAAGACCUCGCGCGAUUGGAGCGGCCGAUAUCAGAUUAGGUAGUUGGUGGGGUAAAGGCUCACCAAGCCAACGAUCUGUAGCUGGUCUGAGAGGACGACCAGCCACACUGGAACUGAGACACGGUCCAGACUCCUACGGGAGGCAGCAGUGGGGAAUUUUGGACAAUGGACGCAAGUCUGAUCCAGCCAUUCCGCGUGCAGGAUGAAGGCCCGCGGGUUGUAAACUGCUUUUGUACGGAACGAAAAGGUUUCCAUUAAUACUGGGAGCUCAUGACGGUACCGUAAGAAUAAGCACCGGCUAACUACGUGCCAGCCGCCGCAGUAA